rfam:Salmo salar isolate Sally breed double haploid chromosome ssa09, whole genome shotgun sequence.
UGCAUUCACUACUGUAAGUUGCUCUGGAUAAGAGUGUCUGCGAAAUGGCUAAAA